rnacentral:rRNA from 1 species
GGUUAAGCGACUAAGCGUACACGGUGGAUGCCCUGGCAGUCAGAGGCGAUGAAGGACGUGCUAAUCUGCGAAAAGCGUCGGUAAGGUGAUAUGAACCGUUAUAACCGGCGAUGUCCGAAUGGGGAAACCCAGUGCAAUUCGUUGCACUAUCGUUAACUGAAUACAUAGGUUAACGAGGCGAACCGGGGGAACUGAAACAUCUAAGUACCCCGAGGAAAAGAAAUCAACCGAGAUUCCCCCAGUAGCGGCGAGCGAACGGGGAGCAGCCCAGAGUCUGAAUCAGCUUGUGUGUUAGUGGAACGGUCUGGAAAGUCCGACGGUACAGGGUGAUAGUCCCGUACACCAAAAUGCACAGGUUGUGAACUCGAAGAGUAGGGCGGGACACGUGGUAUCCUGUCUGAAUAUGGGGGGACCAUCCUCCAAGGCUAAAUACUCCUGACUGACCGAUAGUGAACCAGUACCGUGAGGGAAAGGCGAAAAGAACCCCGGCGAGGGGAGUGAAAAAGAACCUGAAACCGUGUACGUACAAGCAGUGGGAGCACCUUUAUGGUGUGACUGCGUACCUUUUGUAUAAUGGGUCAGCGACUUAUAUUCUGUAGCAAGGUUAACCGUAUAGGGGAGCCGCAGGGAAACCGAGUCUUAACUGGGCGUUAAGUUGCAGGGUAUAGACCCGAAACCCGGUGAUCUAGCCAUGGGCAGGUUGAAGGUUGGGUAACACUAACUGGAGGACCGAACCGACUAAUGUUGAAAAAUUAGCGGAUGACUUGUGGCUGGGGGUGAAAGGCCAAUCAAACCGGGAGAUAGCUGGUUCUCCCCGAAAGCUAUUUAGGUAGCGCCUCGUGAACUCAUCUUCGGGGGUAGAGCACUGUUUCGGCUAGGGGGUCAUCCCGACUUACCAACCCGAUGCAAACUACGAAUACCGAAGAAUGUUAUCACGGGAGACACACGGCGGGUGCUAACGUCCGUCGUGAAGAGGGAAACAACCCAGACCGCCAGCUAAGGUCCCAAAGUCAUGGUUAAGUGGGAAACGAUGUGGGAAGGCACAGACAGCCAGGAUGUUGGCUUAGAAGCAGCCAUCAUUUAAAGAAAGCGUAAUAGCUCACUGGUCGAGUCGGCCUGCGCGGAAGAUGUAACGGGGCUAAACCAUGCACCGAAGCUGCGGCAGCGACACGAUGUGUUGUUGGGUAGGGGAGCGUUCUGUAAGCCUGCGAAGGUGGCCUGUGAGGGUUGCUGGAGGUAUCAGAAGUGCGAAUGCUGACAUAAGUAACGAUAAAGCGGGUGAAAAGCCCGCUCGCCGGAAGACCAAGGGUUCCUGUCCAACGUUAAUCGGGGCAGGGUGAGUCGACCCCUAAGGCGAGGCCGAAAGGCGUAGUCGAUGGGAAACAGGUUAAUAUUCCUGUACUUGGUGUUACUGCGAAGGGGGGACGGAGAAGGCUAUGUUAGCCGGGCGACGGUUGUCCCGGUUUAAGCAUGUAGGCUGGUUAUCCAGGCAAAUCCGGAUAAUCAAGGCUGAGGUGUGAUGACGAGGCACUACGGUGCUGAAGUAACAAAUGCCCUGCUUCCAGGAAAAGCCUCUAAGCAUCAGGUAACAUCAAAUCGUACCCCAAACCGACACAGGUGGUCAGGUAGAGAAUACCAAGGCGCUUGAGAGAACUCGGGUGAAGGAACUAGGCAAAAUGGUGCCGUAACUUCGGGAGAAGGCACGCUGGUGUGUAGGUGAAGCCCCUGCGGGUGGAGCUGAGACCAGUCGAAGAUACCAGCUGGCUGCAACUGUUUAUUAAAAACACAGCACUGUGCAAACACGAAAGUGGACGUAUACGGUGUGACGCCUGCCCGGUGCCGGAAGGUUAAUUGAUGGGGUUAUCCGUAAGGAGAAGCUCUUGAUCGAAGCCCCGGUAAACGGCGGCCGUAACUAUAACGGUCCUAAGGUAGCGAAAUUCCUUGUCGGGUAAGUUCCGACCUGCACGAAUGGCGUAAUGAUGGCCAGGCUGUCUCCACCCGAGACUCAGUGAAAUUGAACUCGCUGUGAAGAUGCAGUGUACCCGCGGCAAGACGGAAAGACCCCGUGAACCUUUACUAUAGCUUGACACUGAACAUUGAGCCUUGAUGUGUAGGAUAGGUGGGAGGCUUUGAAGCGUGGACGCCAGUCUGCGUGGAGCCAACCUUGAAAUACCACCCUUUAAUGUUUGAUGUUCUAACGUGGGCCCCUAAUCGGGGUUGCGGACAGUGUCUGGUGGGUAGUUUGACUGGGGCGGUCUCCUCCCAAAGCGUAACGGAGGAGCACGAAGGUUAGCUAAUCCUGGUCGGACAUCAGGAGGUUAGUGCAAUGGCAUAAGCUAGCUUGACUGCGAGCGUGACGGCGCGAGCAGGUGCGAAAGCAGGUCAUAGUGAUCCGGUGGUUCUGAAUGGAAGGGCCAUCGCUCAACGGAUAAAAGGUACUCCGGGGAUAACAGGCUGAUACCGCCCAAGAGUUCAUAUCGACGGCGGUGUUUGGCACCUCGAUGUCGGCUCAUCACAUCCUGGGGCUGAAGUAGGUCCCAAGGGUAUGGCUGUUCGCCAUUUAAAGUGGUACGCGAGCUGGGUUUAGAACGUCGUGAGACAGUUCGGUCCCUAUCUGCCGUGGGCGCUGGAGAAUUGAGGGGGGCUGCUCCUAGUACGAGAGGACCGGAGUGGACGCAUCACUGGUGUUCGGGUUGUCAUGCCAAUGGCACUGCCCGGUAGCUAAAUGCGGAAGAGAUAAGUGCUGAAAGCAUCUAAGCACGAAACUUGCCCCGAGAUGAGUUCUCCCUGAGACUAUAAGUCUCCUGAAGGAACGUUGAAGACGACGACGUUGAUAGGCCGGGUGUGUAAGCGCAGCGAUGCGUUGAGCUAACCGGUACUAAUGAACCGUGAGGCUUAACCUU